GGCUGAUCCGAAGGUAGUGAGUUAUCUCAGUUGAUUCUUCAGUCAGUUACAGAUUGAACUCCUUGUUCUACUCUUUCCCCUCUUCUCACUGCUGUACUUGACUACUAAA
rnacentral:Y_RNA from 1 species